GGGUCCGCGGUGGCAGGAAGUGCACUGCCCCAGUCCUCAAGGGGACAAAGAGAGGAGGGGCGUACCUGGAACCCAGUGUUCUUCAGUGGAAGCUGGUGUGACAGAGGAAGCUCUUUGGCUGCCAGAGACCUCACUGGAGGCAGAGAGUGUGGAGGAGAACCACCCCCCCCCCCCAGGUUCCCCCUGACUCCCGUCUUCCAGCUUCUGCACAGUGUCUCCCACUGGCCACAUUGAGUCCGAAGUCAGUGGACCUAGGAGGCGUGGAAACAGCCUUCUGGAAGCAGCCCUUGUCUAUCACAGGGCGGAGCAGGAGGAGAGCAAGGAACAGCACGCCCGACAGGCCCGGAACUGGCACAAAGGCCAAGAGCUCUUUACCAAAAGAAUCACUUUUCAAAGAAGUACUCUUUCAAGAUACUUCUCUCCAGAGUCCUCCACCUUGCCAUGAUGACUGCUCCGGAAAGUGCCCCCGCAGUCUCAGACACUUCAAGAAGUGGCCCAUCUGGGUCAAGUGACAGAGCUGCGCUCCCUGCCGCCACCACCACGUGACCCCAAGCUCUGCACUGUGUCAUGGCAGUGCCCCCGCUGUCUCUGGGGGACAACACAAGAACUUUUGGUGUGGUGCCCGCCUGCCCUCCCCCACCUGCACCCAGUCACUCGGCUUGAACUGCACCCCUACAGCCACGGUGAUCCUCCCGUUCCUCGCAAAGCCCAGCCCUGCCCUUGAGGAUCGGAAACCUCACCGUCAGGGGUCUCCCCCUCUCUGCCUGGAGACUCUCCAUUUUCCUCCGUCAAGGGAAAGAAUCGGAUUUGCAUCAUCUAAAAAUUCAGCUACUUCAGAACCUGAAAUCAAGUGAGAGGAGCCUCCCGUGGAGUAUCUGAGAAGUCUCAGGGCUGCAAGUUCAUUUGCUGCAGAUAUUUGCAGACCCUCCCCCGCAUGGCCUUCAGGGCUGGAAGCAGACUGAUGAAGAGCUUCUCCCAGAGUUCCAAGGUGGGGGCGGGGGGGUGAUGUUCACUGGUAUACCUCACCCCCCACUGGCCCACUCCUCCGGGGAGGAGCACCAGGCUGGUAGCUGACAAAAUUGUGAGACUAAAGAAAGGCUACACUUUCCUCCUAGACCUUAUUCCUUCCAUUUCAUUUAGCGUUUGCUUUAUCACGGAGACCUCCCAACAGCGCAGAAAGUCAUCGAAGCCCGAUGCACCUGUCUCUGACACCUACUGGCUGGGCAACUGGAACAAGAUGGAUUUUUUUCUGAAUCCUCUGCCAACCGGAGGCACCGUGCUCCUUUACCCCUUCGUCCCCAGGACCUGGGCUUGCCCGCAGCCCUUUGCAUCCUGGUGAUUUCACCACGUGUGUCACAUGACGGUAUUUCUGAAGGACAAGGGCAUUCUCUUACAGUACAAUUGUCCCCUUGUUUUUUUAAGAAGGUAAAAAAGCAAUGGAGAAAGAGACUACUCACAGCCUUUUGCUGUGAAAGACUGAGCAAAGGCCCCAGGGUAACACAAAGGGUCCCAGGAAUAUAAAGCCUCUGAAAGGACACAGCUGAGGGUGGGCCCGAAAACAACAGGCCUCAGGAACCCAGUCAGUGGGGCAGGGUGAGAAUAGGCAGCACUUCCUGAAGAUCCCUGCCAGGGACAUGAAGAAAAUCCACUCAGAAGGCCUUUGCCAGAAACUGCUCAGCUGGAUGCUAAUGGGUUCUGGGCCAGCGUGGGGAGCUCAGUCCCAAGAGGACUUCUGGGCGGAGAAGACUGAAAUCCCAAAGGGCCCUGAAAGGAAGUGUCUCUUUGAAGAAACCAAGUUAACUAAGAGGAGGAGGACUCUGGCCUCUGGAGGUGUUGGAGUUCAGCUCCUUGUAGUCUCUGGGAAAAGAGAGUCAUGCCAGUGGGUCCUUCUGCCCAAUAAAGAAGAGUCACAUAAAGCCUUGACCUUCUAGAAAACUGCUUGAUGGUAUAAAUUAGGAAGGAAUGGGAUAGCAGGAGAGUAAAAACUCUCAAAAACCCAAACAGUUAAACAAAAUGCGAUACACACAUACAGUGAAUAUUAGGCAGCUUAAAAAGGGAGAACAUUCUGGCGCCUGGGUAGCUCAGUAGAUUGAGCAUACGAUUGGAUUUCUGCUCAGGUCAUGACCUCAGGGUUGUGAGAUGCGAGCCUCCUACUGGGCUCCACACUGGGCAUGAAGCCUGCUUGCCAUGCUCUCUCUCUCUCUCUCUCUAGCUCGGCCCCUCCUCCUUUAAAAAAAAAAAAGUAUAAAGGGGGAACAUUUUGAUACAUGCUACAACGUGGAUGAACCCUAAGGAUAUUAUGCUUAGUAAAAUAAAAGGACAAAUACUGUCUGACUCCAUUUUUGUGAGGUACCUAGAGCAGUCACAUUCACAGAAACAGGAAGUAGAAUGGUGGCUGCCAGGCCUGGUGGGGAGUGGGGAGGAGGAGUUAGCACUUAACAGUGAUGGUCUCAGUUGUGCAAUGUCAGCAGUGUUCUGGGUCUGGAUGGUGGGAAUGGUAACACAGUAUACAAAUGGACUCAGUGUCACUGAGCUGUGCCCUUUCCACAUGGUUAAGCUAUAACCUGUAUAUUAUAGGAACCUUCUGAUCUUGGACCAUGUCAAUGUACUAUCCGAAGCCCUAAAAACCAAAAGUCUUGUCUUCUCCGUGAAUUCUUCUGUGACUACCCCAGGGAGAAGUGAGGCCUUUUCCCUCUGGCCUCCUGUUCACUGUAUCAGGCAUUUAGUGAUUUCCUGAUGGCACUGACCACCCUUCUCUGUGUAAAAGCCUGGCUCUCUCCCCAGGGCCUUAGCACCUCAAGGGAAAGGACUGCAUCUCCCAUAGUCCCUACAAAGGGGCCUUGGAGGUAUUAUGUUCAAUGUUGGAUGACCCAUCAAUUACCUAAGAGUUAAGUACCAGAAAACCCACAAGGGAAGAAGAGUGGAAUGAAGCUGAAGGGAAAAGAAGAAAUAGAGCAUCUUGGUCGGUAAACUAAAACGUCGAAUUAUUUUAAGAACUUGAAGGUGGAGACUUGUGUUGAAGUCUCUCUAGACUGUGAGUUGUAGGGAAAAAAAAAAAACAAAAAACCCUAAAAUUGGAGUAAGUGAAGAAGAUGAAAAAAGGAGGAGGAGGAGAAAAGAGAAAGAGAAAGAAAAGGAGCGAACGAUUAAGGUGUUCUUGAUACACAUAACCUCUUGGAUUUAGGCAAGAUCGGUUUCAGGUGCCCUUUUACCUCCUUCGCCAUUUCUCGGCCCUGCUUUUGCCUGGACUGGAGGAUUCCCAGACACCUCUUACCCUUGGUAGCAGACAAGGCUACCCUAGCAGUUCCAGACUUACUUGAUUCUUCCACCGCACAAUCAGAGCAACAAGAGGACAUCCUUUCUUCUCUCUUUAGCAAAAAGCCCAUGGAUGCUUUCCUUUGACCCAGCUUGUGGCCUCUCCUCUGAAUUAAUAAGUGUAGACUUGGACUGGAAGACUCUGUGUGAGCCCUGUCUUGGAAUUACGAGGUUAUAAGAUCCUAGCACAGUUCCUGAGAAAGAGGAACCUUCCUCCAUUGGUGGGGAGAGUGCAACCUGGAACCUCUCAGGGAAUUUGUCAUUUUUUUGGUCAAGGAAACCCCUUGACUUAACAAUGUACUUCUGGACAUUUAUCCCACAAUUACAGUCCCUCACAAAUAAAAUGCCACUCAUGCAAGACUA